rnacentral:piRNA from 1 species
UGUGUGUACCUGCUCUGAGGAUGUUCCUU